rnacentral:rRNA from 1 species
UCCGGUUGAUCCUGCCAGAGGUUACUGCUAUCGAGGUUCGACUAAGCCAUGCGAGUCGAAUGUAGCAAUACAUGGCGUACUGCUCAGUAACACGUGGACAACCUACCCUCAGGACGGGUAUAAACCCGGGAAACUGGGUAUAAUCCCCGAUAGAUCUCGAAUGCUGGAAUGCGUCGAGGUUUAAAGCCCCGGCGCCUGAGGAUGGGUCUGCGGCCUAUCAGGUAGUAGUGGGUGUAGCGUACCUACUAGCCUACGACGGGUACGGGUUGUGAGAGCAAGAGCCCGGAGAUGGAUUCUGAGACACGAAUCCAGGCCCUACGGGGUGCAGCAGGCGCGAAAACUUUACAAUGCCGGCAACGGCGAUAAGGGGACCUCGAGUGCCAGGUUACAAAUCUGGCUGUCGUGAUGCCUAAAAAGCAUUGCAUAGCAAGGGCCGGGCAAGACCGGUGCCAGCCGCCGCGGUAACACCGGCGGCUCGAGUGGUAACCGUUAUUAUUGGGUCUAAAGGGUCUGUAGCCGGCCGGAUAAGUCUCUUGGGAAAUCUGGCAGCUCAACUGUCAGGCUUUCAGGAGAUACUGUCUGGCUCGAGGCCGGGAGAGGUGAGAGGUACUUCAGGGGUAGGGGUGAAAUCUUGUAAUCCUUGAAGGACCACCAGUGGCGAAGGCGUCUCACCAGAACGGACCUGACGGCAAGGGACGAAAGCUAGGGGCACGAACCGGAUUAGAUACCCGGGUAGUCCUAGCCGUAAACGAUACUCGCUAGGUGUCGGCCACGGUGCGACCGUUGUCGGUGCCGUAGGGAAGCCGUGAAGCGAGCCACCUGGGAAGUACGGCCGCAAGGCUGAAACUUAAAGGAAUUGGCGGGGGAGCA